GACAAACAAGCUAAGCCCAUCUAUGUAAAAAAUUCUGUAAGAUGAAGGAAAAGCACAUUAUAAACCAGGUAGCUUCGCAGUAGGAGCAGCGGGGAUGGGGCUGUCAUCGGUCCAGUUCGUCUCGCCCCAAUGCCACAGCAUACUCUCCCAAAAGCAGAACUCCUCAAAGCAUAUACUAAGCCUCGGGUCGCUUAUAUUUCUCUUCCAGUGUCCGUCAGGGAAGUCUGCUUUCUCAGCCUGCCUCCGAUCCCACUCCAACCCAGC
rnacentral:misc_RNA from 1 species